rnacentral:rRNA from 1 species
GACGAACGCUGGCGGCGUGCUUAACACAUGCAAGUCGAACGGAAAGGCCCUGCUUUUGUGGGGUGCUCGAGUGGCGAACGGGUGAGUAACACGUGAGUAACCUGCCCUUGACUUUGGGAUAACUUCAGGAAACUGGGGCUAAUACCGGAUAGGAGCUCCUGCUGCAUGGUGGGGGUUGGAAAGUUUCGGCGGUUGGGGAUGGACUCGCGGCUUAUCAGCUUGUUGGUGGGGUAGUGGCUUACCAAGGCUUUGACGGGUAGCCGGCCUGAGAGGGUGACCGGCCACAUUGGUACUGAGAUACGGCCCAGACGCCUACGGGAGGCAGCAGUGGGGAAUAUGGCACAAUGGGCGGAAGCCUGAUGCAGCAACGCCGCGUGCGGGAUGACGGCCUUCGGGUUGUAAACCGAUUUCGCCUGUGACGAAGCGUGAGUGACGGUAAUGGGUAAAGAAGCACCGGCUAACUACGUG